rnacentral:lncRNA from 13 species
CAGGAACCAUGCACAUAACCUCACAAUUUAAGGCACGCUGAGGACGCCUUAUGCCAUUCCAGGCUCUUGUGUAUAUUAUUGUGGAGCUACCCUGUUCCUGGCUUAGAGGACCAGGAGAAGGGGCAGCGGAGCCACCUGCUGCGUGUUGGAGGCUGCAGCGUGCGGCACUGUGGUUGGCCUCGCUGCGGUUUUUCAGGCUUUGCCCGCCCAGCUGUACCAAGCCAGGCUGGAGGAGGAGGUGAAGGAGUCGUCACCUGUGAAACUCCUGGCAAAUCAAAGAAGAGUAGACUGAGGAUCAAAAGCACAGAGGGAUGUCUGUGGCUAUGGCAGCCUCUCUGCAGAAUCAGGGAAAGAAAAAUGGAGAAGCCAGUGGAAAAGAAAAGAAAUGUUCAGGCAGCAUGUGGACAAGAAUCCAAGAAUUGAGUCUGGUGAAAAUGCCGGAAGGAGAGAAGAGCUAGAAAGAGCUACAUAGGUGAAUGGAAAACACGCUGCAGAGAGUAUAUCAUCUGUCACUUGAAUCUCCUGGGCUCUGGAUUUUUGAAACUCGCAUUUCUGAGAAGUGAAACGUAAAGGUGCCCACAUUCUGAGAACUGUAAUGGCAUUUCAAGGGGAGGAAAAUUGAACUUACCUGGGACCUCACCAUCUAUGAGCCAUCAUUCAUUGCGUUCUCCUCUAUGCUCUCCUCCUGAAAAAAAUGGAAUUCUGAGAAGGCAUAGUUAGGAAAAAGAGAAGCAUCUUGUUAAUACACGAUAUGAAGGCUAAACGCAAAUCGUGGAGCUUCAGUUUUGUGUAGGUAUAGCAGACACUACAGAGAAGCCCUCUAAGACAUAAACUUAAAGGCUGUGACAUCCCUACUCCUCUAUGACACCGGAGAAUUCAAUGUAGAACUGUCUCUCUUCAGUGGUGCAGUUCCCCUUGUUGUGGUCUAUGGGAGCUCAGGGGUUUUCAGCCCUGGCUAAAUGCUGGUGGAAAUUUAAAAAGAAGACAGUGCUCAGCCCCAACAGAGAGUUGGAUUUAAUUAAUCUGGGGUGGGUCUGAGCAACAGCAUUUUAAAUUUUAAAGUCUCCAAGUGACUCUAAGUGCAGAUGAGAACUACCGGGAAGAGACGAUGGAGAAGACAUUGGUGAGGGCCCAUUCUUACUCUUUAUCCCAAAAAAAAAAAAUAAAUUCACCCCAAAACAUACA